rnacentral:rRNA from 1 species
AUUGAACGCUGGCGGCAGGCCUAACACAUGCAAGUCGAACGAGUGGCGGACGGGUGAGUAAUGUCUGGGAAACUGCCUGAUGGAGGGGGAUAACUACUGGAAACGGUAGCUAAUCCCGCAUACAAUCAGAUUUGCCCAGAUGGGAUUAGCUUGUUGGUGGGGUAACGGCUCACCAAGGCGCCGAUCCCUAUCUGGUCUGAGAGGAUGACCAGCCACACUGGAACUUAGACACGGGCCAGAUUCCUACGGGAGGCAGCAGUGGGGAAUAUUGCACAAUGGGCACAAGCCGGAGGCAGCCAUGCCGCGUGUAUGAAGAAGGCCUGCGGGUUUUAAAGUACUUUCAGCGGGGAGUCGUUACCCGCAGAAGAAGCACCGGCUAACUCCGUGCCAGCAGCCGCGGUAAUAC